AAUUUAACUGUACAAAGGUAGCAUAAUAAUUAGUUUUUUAAUUGAGGACUAGAAUGAAUGGUUUUAUGAGAUAUUUACUUUAUUAAAUUAAUUGGUAUAAUUUUAUUUUUUAGUUAAAAAGCUAAAAUAUUUAUAUAAGACGAGAAGACCCUAUAGAUUUUUAUAAUUAUAUUUUAUAUAAUAAAUUAAGAAUUUAAAAUUAAUAUUUAUAUAUUUAUUUUGUUGGGGUGAUAAUAAAAUUUAAUAAACUUUUAUAAAUAAUUUAUAAACAUUAAUUUAUGAUUUACUGAUCCAUUUUUAAUGAUUAUUAAAUUAAAUUACCUUAGGGAUAACAGCAUAAUUUAUUUGGAAAGUUCUUAUUAAUAAGUAAGUUUAUGACCUCGAUGUUGGGCUAGGAUAAAUUUUAGG
rnacentral:rRNA from 1 species